GCAAAACGCGAAGAACCUUACCAGGUCUUGACAUCCUCUGACAACCCUAGAGAUAGGACUUCUCCUUCGGGAGCAGAGUGACAGGUGGUGCAUGGUUGUCGUCAGCUCGUGUCGUGAGAUGUUGGGUUAAGUCCCGCAACGAGCGCAACCCUUGAUCUUAGUUGCCAUCAUUUAGUUGGGCACUCUAAGGUGACUGCCGGUGACAAACCGGAGGAAGGUGGGGAUGACGUCAAAUCAUCAUGCCCCUUAUGACCUGGGCUACACACGUGCUACAAUGGACGGUACAAAGAGCUGCAAGACCGCGAGGUGGAGCUAAUCUCAUAAAACCGUUCUCAGUUCGGAUUGUAGGCUGCAACUCGCCUACAUGAAGCUGGAAUCGCUAGUAAUCGCGGAUCAGCAUGCCGCGGUGAAUACGUUCC
rnacentral:rRNA from 1 species